GAGUUUGAUCCUGGCUCAGGACGAAUGCUGGCGGCGCGCUUAAUGCAUGCAAGUCGAACGGUUCUUCCCGCAAGGGAAGGAUAGUGGCGAACGGCUGAGUAACGCGUAAGUAACCUAUCCUCGGGCGGGGAAUAAUCUACCGAAAGGUGGACUAAUACCGCAUAUGGUGUCCUGUCACAAGGCAGGCCAGCAAAGGUCUCUCGCAAGAGGGGCCGCCGGGGGAUGGACUUGCGUCCUAUCAGGUAGUUGGUGGGGUAACGGCCUACCAAGCCGAUGACGGGUAGCUGGUCUGARAGGACGACCAGCCAGAGGGGGACUGCAACACGGCCCCCACUCCUACGGGAGGCAGCAGCAGGGAAUCUUGCGCAAUGGGCGAAAGCCUGACGCAGCGACGCCGCGUGGGGGAAGAAGGCCUUCGGGUUGUAAAGCUCUGUCAGAGGGRAAGAAAUGGAAACGGUUAAUACCCGUUUUCCUUGACGGUACCCUCAAAGGAAGCACCGGCUAACUCCGUGCCAGCAGCCGCGGUAAUAC
rnacentral:rRNA from 1 species